GAUGAACGCUGGCGGCGUGCCUCAAACAUGCAAGUCGAGCGAGGCUAUGAAUUACCGCAAGGUAAGGCAUAGCCUAGCGGCGAACGGGUGAGUAACACGUGGGUAACCUACCUGGAAGACAGGGAUAACGAUUCGAAAGGGUCGCUAAUACCUGAUAAUAUCCAUCUGCCGGAUGGCGGAGGGAAGAAAGGGGAAACCCGCUUUCAGAUGGGCCCGCGUCCCAUCAGCUAGUUGGUAAGGUAAAGGCUUACCAAGGCGACGACGGGUAGCCGGUCUGAGAGGAUGUACGGCCACACUGGGACUGAGAUACGGCCCAGACUCCUACGGGAGGCAGCAGUUGGGAAUCUUAGGCAAUGGACGAAAGUCUGACCUAGCGACGCCGCGUGAGGGAAGAAGGCCUUCGGGUUGUAAACCUCUGUCAUGGGGGAAGAAGGAAGUGACGGUACCCAAGAGGAAGCCCCUGCUAACUACGUGCCAGCAACCGCGGUAAGCAUACUCGUA
rnacentral:rRNA from 1 species